ensembl:lncRNA LINC02695 long intergenic non-protein coding RNA 2695
GAGGAAGUGACUAGAGCAAAGCAAGACAAAAGGAAAUUUGGCUCAACAGGAUGUGAAAAUAGAGAAGAAACUUUUCCAAGAUCAUAAGUGGUGGAGAGAAGUUUUCCAAGGAGAAAACCUGGGCUAAGUAUUAAAAACAACAACAAUAAAAUCAGACAGAACUGAAAGAGAAGAAGAA